GCCAGCAGCCAUAUCACCCUGCAACUCACAACUGGCAGCCCACUGAAGCUAAGCAUGUGUGAGCCUGGUCAGUACCUGGAGGUGAGACCUCCUGGGAAAAACUAAGGUUGCUGCUGGAA
rfam:Lepisosteus oculatus linkage group LG25, whole genome shotgun sequence.